AAGAUACUUUUUCCGUCCAACAAAAGGAUGUCUCGACCUUGACUAAAUUUAAAUGCAUCUAUACACUAAGUCACAUCCAGAUAGAUUCAAAUUUUGACAAACUUGAGACAUUUUUUGUUGGACGGGGAAAGUAUAUA
rfam:Brachypodium distachyon strain Bd21 chromosome 1, whole genome shotgun sequence.